AGAGCGAACGCUGGCGGCAGGCCUAAUACAUGCAAGUCGAACGAGCCCUUCGGGGCUAGUGGCGGACGGGUGAGUAACACGUGGGAACGUGCCUUUUGGUUCGGAACAACUCAGGGAAACUUGAGCUAAUACCGAAUGUGCCCUUCGGGGGAAAGAUUUAUCGCCAUUAGAGCGGCCCGCGUCUGAUUAGCUAGUUGGUGAGGUAAAGGCCCACCAAGGCUACGAUCAGUAGCUGGUCUGAGAGGAUGAUCAGCCACACUGGGACUGAGACACGGCCCAGACUCCUACGGGAGGCAGCAGUAGGGAAUCUUGCGCAAUGGGCGAAAGCCUGACGCAGCCAUGCCGCGUGAAUGAUGAAGGUCUUAGGAUUGUAAAAUUCUUUCAGCGGGACGAUAAUGACGGUACCCGCAGAAGAACGCCCGGCUAACUUCGUGCCAGCAGCCGC
rnacentral:rRNA from 1 species